rnacentral:lncRNA from 1 species
CUUUCUCCUCGACCUUGCUGACCUUGAUCUUAAGGUCACGCACCUCCUAGCUGGCCUCGAGGAGGGCCCUCCGAGCUUUAUCUUUGGCCGUCAACGCACCAACCACCUUCAUCUGAACAUUCUGGACCUAGCCUCGACCUCCUCCGUGGCCUCCCAUGGAUUACUGGCAUUAAUGGCCCAAAUUAGCAGAAGCAACAACUUGGAUGGGCAAGAUCAUGACAUAUGCCACCCACUCAUUACUCCACCGUUUCACCCAUGGAUGUGCAUUCGUUAUGGUUGUCCCAUCAUCAAACAUGGCUUGGCCUUGAUCACUGACACAAUGCCCUUCAUCCUACCCUAGUUUCAACUCGGGCUCAAGAGUGAGGGGCCAAGUGCUGGGGUGUAUCACCUCAAUCUUGACCAGAGCCAAAGCUCCCUUGAGCUCGGCUAGCACCAAGGACACAUGGUCGAACCCCACCAAUCUAACCUCCUUGGUU